rnacentral:rRNA from 1 species
ACGUAGGUGGCAAGCGUUGUCCGGAUUUAUUGGGCGUAAAGCGAGCGCAGGCGGUUUCUUAAGUCUGAUGUGAAAGCCUUCGGCUCAACCGAAGAAGUGCAUCGGAAACUGGGAAACUUGAGUGCAGAAGAGGACAGUGGAACUCCAUGUGUAGCGGUGAAAUGCGUAGAUAUAUGGAAGAACACCAGUGGCGAAGGCGGCUGUCUGGUCUGUAACUGACGCUGAGGCUCGAAAGCAUGGGUAGCAAACAG